rnacentral:tRNA from 1 species
AGCUCUGUAGUGAAAUUUCAUAUUGAAUUGCAAAUUCAAAGAAGCAGCUUCAAUUCUGCCGGGGCUU